rnacentral:rRNA from 1 species
AGAGUUUGAUCAUGGCUCAGAUUGAACGCUGGCGGCAUGCUUUACACAUGCAAGUCGAGCGACAGCGCGGGGCAACCCUGGCGGCGAGCGGCGAACGGGUGAGUAAUACAUCGGAACGUGUCCCGUAGUGGGGGAUAGCUCGGCGAAAGCCGGAUUAAUACCGCAUAUGCUCUACGGAGGAAAGCGGGGGAUCCGCAAGGACCUCGCGCUAUGGGAGCGGCCGAUGUCCGAUUAGCUUGUUGGUGGGGUAACGGCCUACCAAGGCGACGAUCGGUAGCUGGUCUGAGAGGAUGAUCAGCCACACUGGGACUGAGACACGGCCCAGACUCCUACGGGAGGCAGCAGUGGGGAAUUUUGGACAAUGGGGGAAACCCUGAUCCAGCCAUGCCGCGUGAGUGAAGAAGGCCUUCGGGUUGUAAAGCUCUUUUGGUCGGAAAGAAAAGGCUACGGACAAUACCCGUGGUCCUUGACGGUACCGGCAGAAUAAGCACCGGCUAACUACGUGCCAGCAGCCGCGGUAAUACGUAGGGUGCGAGCGUUAAUCGGAAUUACUGGGCGUAAAGAGUGCGUAGGCGGUCCCGCAAGUCCGCUGUGAAAGCCCCGGGCUUAACCUGGGAAUGGCAGUGGAAACUAUGGGACUUGAAUCUGGCAGAGGGGGGUGGAAUGCCACGUGUAGCAGUGAAAUGCGUAGAGAUGUGGCGGAACACCGAUGGCGAAGGCAGCCCCCUGGGCUGAGAUUGACGCUCAGGCACGAAAGCGUGGGGAGCAAACAGGAUUAGAUACCCUAGUAGUCC